CACUUGAAUCUCUAGAUAUUAAAAUGGUUCCUCAGCUCUAAUUGCUCCCUCUGAAGAUCCCCACCACUCUCAGACGAUUAAAGCUUAUAAAUCUCAAAUCGUUGCACUGCCUCCCAUCUUCUUUGUUGGACGUCUCAUCCCUUAAGUAUCUAUCCCUAGAAAGCAUUCCCAACCUCAAAUCACUGCCAGACCUCCCACCCUCUUUGUCUACCCUCCGUCUAAAGAAGCUUGAUCAAUUGGAUUGCUUGCCUUCAUGCAUAUCUAAUCUUUAUUCUCUCACUUGCAUUCAUAUCGGUGAAGCCUGCAAACUCCGGGAAUUACCAGAUCCUCCUCCCUCCGUAAAUCUUUUAUCAAUCAUGGGCUGUCAUCCAGAGUUGAUGGAGCGCUAUAAAGAGUUUUCAGGCUCUAAUUGGUGGAUUGUAGAAUAAGCAUCAACAUGGUGCUCACCAGUAUUCAGGACUCUGGCAGCAAAUGACAAGAACUGAAACAAUGAAUUUUGAGUUGGAGUCGUGAUGCAUCCGGACUUCAUGGACAUCAUUGUUGUACACAUUGUACAACAAUUUGUACAACAUCGUUGAAAUGCACUCAUAAUUUAUGUUGUUCCCAUCACCUUGUUAGUACGUUCCAAAUAAUGGUGAUGGGAACUAAAGUUCACUGCUUUAUCUGAAAGCUCUUGAAUUCCAAGGCUCCUGUGUUGGAUGGUUGUCAUUGUGCCUUUGCAGAUGAUGGUUUGACUGAACCUGUACAAUUUACUGCUGCGGCAUAUGGGGACUGGAACUUUAACAAAGCCAAAAUGACUCAGUUUUGAGUGAACUGCUCUUCCUUCGACUUCAUUAUUAGGUGCAUGCUAGCUUAUGAUUGUGUCUGCUCUGAUGGGAACUGAUAUGAGAGCAAGUCAGGUUGAUUAAAAGUUCAAGGGUGGGGUAGAGAAAAUUCAGAAGAAGAGUUAAAUCUGGAUGGCUAAAGGAUUUCGU